UCUCUGCCUUUGCAGUCAGAGGAAGGGCCCCGGGCUCGGGCCAGGAAGAAUCUGCUCUAAGCUGAUAAAGCCGAAGCCCGUGUGCCAGGAACCCCGUGGUUUUUCUGUCUUUGGAAGUUCUCCCCGCGAGGCCUGGGAGGAGAGGACACUCUCUAGGAGGAGUUUCAGGCCUCAGGCAACCUUUGCACUCAUGGGCCAAUGGGUGGAAGGAUCUGGAAGGAACCCUGAAGGCACCAGGCUCUCCUGAGGGUGCUCAGCCUCACCCUGCCAUGGUCCCAGUUGUCUCCAAGAAACCGUGACAGCUUUUAUCGAAAGGGGACCACUGACCCUCAGCACUCGGAUGCUGUCCAAAGCCAUCAGGGAUGUUGAUGACUGUCCCUCUCUCCGACACUCACACAGAAGACUCCACUCUUUGACAAAAUUCGCGUGUAAGAUCUACAGUGCUCUGUAGUUUGCUUGAAAGUUUAUUCUCUGCAGGGAGGCAAGCAUAACUACCGCUUCUCGGUUCUCCUUAGAGCUUAGGCUGGGGACAAGUGACGUAGGAGGCCUUGCAGCUCGAGGAAACAGCUCUGGAUCCAAACAACCUGAAGAAACAGCAACCCCACUCUGUUCUUUCUCCCAA